CCUACGGGAGGCAGCAGUAGGGAAUCUUUCACAAUGGGCGAAAGCCUGAUGGAGCAACGCCGCGUGCAGGAUGAAGGCCUUCGGGUUGUAAACUGCUUUUAUAAGCGAGAAAUAUGAUGGUAACUUAUGAAUAAGGAUCGGCUAACUACGUGCCAGCAGCCGCGGUCAUACGUAGGAUCCGAGCAUUAUCCGGAGUGACUGGGUGUAAAGAGUUGCGUAGGUGGCAUAAUAAGUAGCUAGUGAAAUCUGGUGGCUCAACCAUUCAGACUAUUAGCUAAACUGUUAAGCUCGAGACCGUUAGGGGUAACUGGAAUUUCUAGUGUAGGAGUGAAAUCCGUAGAUAUUAGAAGGAACACCAAUAGCGUAGGCAGGUUGCUGGGACGGUUCUGACACUAAGGCACGAAAGCGUAGGGAGCAAACGGGAUUAGAGACCCGUGUAGUC
rnacentral:rRNA from 1 species